AGUACACAUAAAAAUGACCUAUAUGAUGUACCAAAUGUAGUGUAUAGUUUGUCCUUUCCAUCAGGUUGAUUUGAUGGUGUGGCUGCAACAAUCAUAGUGCCAUCGAAAAUGUUUGUGCAGGAUGUGAGACAUCACCUGCACCACAGGUAACCAUGAGAGGUGCUGAACUUAAUAAAUCUUCUUUCUUUUACAGGUUGAUUUCAUUGUGUGGCUGCAACAAUCAUGCCAUCAGAAAUGGUUGAUUUGAUUGCGUGGCUGCAACAAUUGUGGUGUCAUUGGAAAUGUUUGGGCAUGAUGUGAUGGGCAUGAUGUGAGAUAUCACCUACACCAUUGAUAACCAUGAGAGGAACUGAGCUU